rnacentral:rRNA from 1 species
UAUAUUUCGCAAUGGAGGAAACUCUGACGCAGCGACGCCGCGUGAGCGAUGAAGGUCUUCGGAUCGUCAAGCUCUUUCCUUGGGGUAGAAGGUCUUCGGACUUGACGGUACCCAUGGAGGAAGCCCCGGCUAACUACGUGCCAGCAGCCGCGGUAAUACGUAGGGUGCAAGCGUUGUACGGAAUUAUUGGGCGUAAAGGGUGCGUAGGCGGCCUUUUAAGUCAGAUGUGAAAGCCCACGGCUCAACCGUGGGAUUGCAUUUGAAACUGGAGGGCUUGAGUAUCGGAGAGGGUAGUGGAAUUCCCAGUGUAGCGGUGAAAUGCGUAGAUAUUGGGAGGAACACCAGUGGCGAAGGCGACUACCUGGACGAUUACUGACGCUGAUGCACGAAAGCUAGGGGAGCAAAC